AACGAACGCUGGCGGCAGGCUUAACACAUGCAAGUCGAGCGAGACCUUCGGGUCUAGCGGCGGACGGGUGAGUAACGCGUGGGAACGUGCCCUUCUCUACGGAAUAGCCCCGGGAAACUGGGAGUAAUACCGUAUACGCCCUUUGGGGGAAAGAUUUAUCGGAGAAGGAUCGGCCCGCGUUGGAUUAGGUAGUUGGUGGGGUAAUGGCCCACCAAGCCGACGAUCCAUAGCUGGGUUGAGAGGAUGAUCAGCCACACUGGGACUGAGACACGGCCCAGACUCCUACGGGAGGCAGCAAUGGGGAAUCUUAAACCAUGGGGGCAACCCUGAUCUAGCCAUGCCGCGUGAGUGAUGAAGGCCUUAGGGUUGUAAAGCUCUUUCAGCUGGGAAGAUAAUGACGGUACCAGCAGAAGAAGCCCCGGCUAACUCCGUG
rnacentral:rRNA from 1 species